GUGAGGAAUUUUCCGCAAUGGGCGAAAGCCUGACGGAGCAAUGCCGCGUGCAGGAAGAAGGCCUUCGGGUUGUAAACUGCUUUUGUACGGAACGAAACGGUCCUGGUUAAUACCUGGGGCUAAUGACGGUACCGUAAGAAUAAGCACCGGCUAACUACGUGCCAGCAGCCGCGGUAAUACGUAGGGUGCAAGCGUUAAUCGGAAUUACUGGGCGUAAAGCGUGCGCAGGCGGUUUUGUAAGACAGGCGUGAAAUCCCCGGGCUCAACCUGGGAAUGGCGCUUGUGACUGCAAAGCUGGAGUGCGGCAGAGGGGGAUGGAAUUCCGCGUGUAGCAGUGAAAUGCGUAGAUAUGCGGAGGAACACCGAUGGCGAAGGCAAUCCCCUGGGCCUGCACUGACGCUCAUGCACGAAAGCGUGGGGAGCAAACAGGAUUAGAUACCCGUGUAGUCC
rnacentral:rRNA from 1 species